rnacentral:rRNA from 1 species
AGUGAACGCUGGCGGUAGGCCUAACACAUGCAAGUCGAGCGGCAGCACAGUAAGAGCUUGCUCUUACGGGUGGCGAGUGGCGGACGGGUGAGGAAUACAUCGGAAUCUACUUUUUCGGGGGGGAUAACGUAGGGAAACUUACGCUAAUACCGCAUACGACCUACGGGUGAAAGCAGGGGAUCUUCGGACCUUGCGCGAUUGAAUGAGCCGAUGUCGGAUUAGCUAGUUGGCGGGGUAAAGGCCCACCAAGGCGACGAUCCGUAGCUGGUCUGAGAGGAUGGUCAGCCACACUGGAACUGAGACACGGUCCAGACUCCUAAGGGAGGCAGCAGUGGGGAAUAUUGGACAAUGGGCGCAAGCCUGAUCCAGCCAUACCGCGUGGGUGAAGAAGGCCUUCGGGUUGUAAAGCCCUUUUGUUGGGAAAGAAAAGCAGCAGGUUAAUACCCCGCUGUUCUGACGGUACCCAAAGAAUAAGCACCGGCUAACUUCGUG